AGGUUACCGCCGAGAGGCCGCGUCCUCAGCUGGUCCUAGACAUGCGUGGCGUCGGGGCUGUGGCACGGUCGGGUCCGGGGACACUUGUUUAACAAGACAUCUGCCCAUGUCCCUGGCCCAUCUCAUUGGCUGCAGCACAUCACAGUGGACCUUCUGCCUCCUCCCAGAUGCCCAGGGACAGUGAUCUGGAAGGAAGGGGCUUGAGGCUGUUUUCCUAGAACUCGACUUGAAUGCACCAAGGAAAGGCCAUUUGUGGGGACAUAGCAAGAAGGCAGCUGUCUGCAAGCCAGGAGGAGAACCCUCACCAGAAACCUCACAGAAAUCGGCCAACACCCUCAUCUCGGGCUUCCAGCUUCAGAACAACGAGAAAACAAAUUUCUGUUGUGUCCUGGUUCCCAUUUGUAAUUGGCACCCUAAUGAAACCGUUUUCUGUAGCCCUGGAAAUGGCUGAAAAUGAGGGGAGGGAAAUAAAGUGCUAUAAUUCAGAGCAUGGAGCACACCUUCCUGGUUCACCUGAGCUGGAUUCGGAGAGGUAAAAUGGCCAUUACCUCGUCUAAGCUGCCACUUACAGACACAGUACAGGAUGAGGCCCAGACCCACAGAGACAACGAUGAUGGCCACAGCUAAGAUGAUCCAGAAAUUAUUCCUCCACCAGCUCAUUGCAGUGGAAUCCUGAGAAGAAUGGAGAGAGAAGAAUGAGAGGGCAAAAGCAGAUGGCUACACCGAGAACUCACGCCAGCCCAACACACUUUGAUCUCGAGGCCUCUGGAAGGGAAGGUGCCUAAUGAACUACUGAAAGCCAGAGAUGCAAUGACAAAGCAGUCGUACCAGGGCCCCAGGCUGCAAUCCCCUGGCCCAGUGCUGAUCGGUGGCUCCCAGGGACACGCCCUGAUGCCAGCGCUGGCAGAUGUCUGCUGUGAAGAGAGCAGGAAACUGUCCCUUGGAAAGCUGAGAUGCUUACCUGAACUGUGAAAGUAUCCAUAUGUGAGCAGCUAAGGAGACAGCAGUGGCUGGAGUGCUGCAGCUCAGGCACAGCUGACGAGUUUGCCGUGAGCAUUCCUGGAUGUGGCAACCUCAGUCUCAAGAAGAGCGACAGGACGCCAGCUCCCAUGCAGAGACAGAUCCAGGUAAGAAACCAGCUCAUGUGUGACAAACUCACCAUCUCACCAUGAAGGUGACUCUUGAAAGCUCCUGUGCACCUUGGAACUGCUGAGACAUCUUCUGCUUGGAGGAGGCAAGGGACAGGCUUCCUGUUUCUAAAGGCGUGUGAGUGGCGACCUUGAGAAAUGUGGCCAGUGGAGCAUUUUGACUGAGUUGGGUCCCCUCGUGCAAUACUGUGAGACAGAACUCCCAGCGAGGCCCACGGCCUCUGACCAUGGGGGUUGGAGUGGGGAAACCAAUUAGCCAUUUUGUUGAAUUGGCUGGUUCUGACUCAAAUGAGCAGUCACAUUAGUAAAAAUAGGCAAACGGAUGUGCAUUGUAUUUGCCCAGAGCGAAUGAGUUGUUAUCCAUUUCAGUAAUAAUGAUAACCAGAUAUGUCUGAUAAAUAUCUGAUAAUGU
rnacentral:lncRNA from 1 species